rnacentral:rRNA from 1 species
ACCAAUUGGCGGCGUGCUAAUACAUGCAAGUCGAGCGAACCACUUCGGUGGUUAGCGGCGGACGGGUGAGUAACACGUGGGCAACCUGCCUGUAAGACUGGGAUAACUUCGGGAAACCGGAGCUAAUACCGGAUAAUCCUUUUCCUCACAUGAGGGAAAGCUGAAAGUCGGUUUCGGCUGACACUUACAGAUGGGCCCGCGGCGCAUUAGCUAGUUGGUGAGGUAACGGCUCACCAAGGCGACGAUGCGUAGCCGACCUGAGAGGGUGAUCGGCCACACUGGGACUGAGACACGGCCCAGACUCCUACGGGAGGCAGCAGUAGGGAAUCUUCCACAAUGGACGAAAGUCUGAUGGAGCAACGCCGCGUGAGCGAUGAAGGCCUUCGGGUCGUAAAGCUCUGUUGUUAGGGAAGAACAAGUACCGGAGUAACUGCCGGUACCUUGACGGUACCUAACCAGAAAGCCACGGCUAACUACGUGCCAGCAGCCGCGGUAAUACGUAGGUGGCAAGCGUUGUCCGGAAUUAUUGGGCGUAAAGCGCGCGCAGGCGGUCCUUUAAGUCUGAUGUGAAAGCCCACGGCUCAACCGUGGAGGGUCAUUGGAAACUGGGGGACUUGAGUGCAGAAGAGGAAAGCGGAAUUCCACGUGUAGCGGUGAAAUGCGUAGAGAUGUGGAGGAACACCAGUGGCGAAAGGCGGCUUUCUGGUCUGUAACUGACGCUGAGGCGCGAAAGCGUGGGGGAGCAAACAGGAUUAGAUACCCUGGUAGUCCACGCCGUAAACGAUGAGUGCUAGUGUUAG